rnacentral:rRNA from 1 species
UACGUAGGGUGCGAGCGUUGUCCGGAAUUACUGGGCGUAAAGAGCUCGUAGGUGGUUUGUCGCGUUGUUCGUGAAAUCUCACGGCUUAACUGUGAGCGUGCGGGCGAUACGGGCAGACUAGAGUACUGCAGGGGAGACUGGAAUUCCUGGUGUAGCGGUGGAAUGCGCAGAUAUCAGGAGGAACACCGGUGGCGAAGGCGGCGACCUGGGUCGAGACUGACGCUGAGGCGCGAAAGCGUGGGGAGCAAACAGG